rnacentral:misc_RNA from 1 species
GAUGAAGAACGCAGCGAAAUGCGAUAAGUAAUGUGAAUUGCAGAAUUCAGUGAAUCAUCGAAUCUUUGAACGCACAUUGCGCCCGCCAGUAUUCUGGCGGGCAUGCCUGUUCGAGCGUCAUUACAACCCUCAGGCCCCCGGGCCUGGCGUUGGGGAUCGGCGGAAGCCCCCUGUGGGCACACGCCGUCCCUCAAAUACAGUGGCGGUCCCGCCGCAGCCUCCAUUGCGUAGUAGCUAACACCUCGCAACUGGAGAGCGGCGCGGCCAUGCCGUAAAACACCCAACUUCUGAAUGUUGACCUCGAAUCAGGUAGGAAUACCCGCUGAACUUAAGCAUAUCAAUAAGCGGAGGA